GACCAGAGCUUGUGGGCUGUACCCAGCCUGCGGCUGGCACUGCAGGCAGCCAGGGUGGCUGCAGAGCAUCUCUAAGUGAUUCAGGUCACUUCUGAUCCAGGACAGGGAGCCUCAGCCUGCCAGCUUUUGGGAACCUGAAAGAUGCCUCAAGUUCACAGCGCAGAGGAUAUCCUGCCUGAAGCUACUGGUAUUGCAGGGAUUGUCUCAUCUCCCUAUUCCCAGUGUGCCUGUUAUACAGUUGAAAAGGCAUUGUUCAGUUUUGAAGAAAUCCUAAUCUGGAUCAGAGAAUUUCCAUCUUGCAAAGUGAUGUCAGCAGCAGAGUAAUUUGCCUCUGCCUCAGUCUCCUCCCAGGACAGUUUUUCUUCAAGAAAGGCACGUGUGUUUGGGCUGAGGAUGCUAAAGGAAUAACUGCACACGUUUCUUAGGACCUUUUCUGUUCCAGGACUGGAGAUACAGUCUGAAUAAAACAUACCAAGUUAGAAAAGGCUUACA
rnacentral:lncRNA from 1 species